CACGUAGGGGCGAGCGUUGUCCGGAAUUACUGGGUGUAAAGGGAGCGUAGGCGGGAGUGCAAGUUGAAUGUUAAAUCUAUCGGCUCAACCGAUAGCCGCGUUCAAAACUGCAUUUCUUGAGCGAAGUAGAGGUUGGCGGAAUUCCUAGUGUAGCGGUGAAAUGCGUAGAUAUUAGGAGGAACACCAGUGGCGAAGGCGGCCAACUGGGCUUUUACUGACGCUGAGGCUCGAAAGCGUGGGGAGCAAACAGGAUUAGAUACCCCGGUAGUCCCUGAGCGGG
rnacentral:rRNA from 1 species